CGUCAAGUCCUCAUGGCCCUUAUGACCAGGGCUACACACGUGCUACAAUGGCCGGUACAAAGAGUUGCGAUACCGCGAGGUGGAGCUAAUCUCAAUAAAGCCGGUCUCAGUUCGGAUUGGAGUCUGCAACUCGACUCCAUGAAGUUGGAAUCGCUAGUAAUCGCGGAUCAGCACGCCGCGGUGAAUACGUUCCCGGGCCUU
rnacentral:rRNA from 1 species